ACCCCCUCUGCCUCAGGCUGUUCACAGGGCAUUCGGGAACAUUCAGUGGCCCUUGGACAGCUGGGAUAGGAACUGGAAGCUAAGUGGGGAGAUAAAGGACGUCCUUUAUCUACUCAUCGCAUGGGCUCUGUGGGGCCUGGGCGGGGCACGCGGACAGCUACAGUACAUCAGGCAGCCACUUCCUUAUGGUUACACAAGGAAGGUAGAGCCAUUUCCCGCCGACCCUACUUUACUGAUCAGGACUGCAGGGAGAUGAGGACACUGAGGCCCACAGAGAAGUCUCGAAGCUGGUGGGAUUGAGCUGGCCAUGCUGGCCCCUGAGGACACAAGAGGGAGGGGCCCCCACCAGGCUAUGUCUGAUAGGACAAGACUGCCGCCAUCUUCACAAGAGUCGCCAUCUUGAAGUAUCAAGUUUCCAUGUCUCAGAACUGUCCACCAAUGUCAGCCCUGCCUUCAACAGAGCCUCACAAUGUCCACAAAAGUCCCAACCAGCCGGCACUUCCUCACCUCCUCCCCAUAGAAUCUUUCCUCAAAGCACACUUACCCCACUGGGCCCUUUAAAAAGCCUCAGGCUGAAGGAGAAGCUUGCUCCUGAGCCUGUUGGCCAGAAGCCCCUCUCAGGUUUACUACCAAUAAAUCCACCUCCACUGUAGAGCUGCCUUCUUGCCUCUUCUUUCCUUCAUCUUUCUAUUCCAACAUUUGGUGCUGAAACCCGGGACAGGUGUUGGGGACAGAGAACUCUCGCAACCCAGGAAGCUGUGGGCUCUGACAGCUCCUCUCGGGCUAAUUCUUGGAUCCUGAGGGUUCUCUGGUUUCUCGCCUAGUCCUUUAGCCCUUCAUCUUUUCUUCUUAAGUGAUUUGCGUUAGGUAAUUGACUGACCACAGAGGACUUCGAGGCUCUGGUCAGGACUACCCCAAGUGUGUUCUCAAAACUCCCAGACCCAGCCAGGCACGGUGGCUGACACCUGUAAUCCCAGCACUUUGGGAGGCUGAGGUAGGCAGAUCAUGAGGUCAAGAGAUUGAGACCAUCCUGGCCAACAUGAUGAAAUCUGUCUCUACUAAAUAUACAAAAACUAGCUGGGUGUGGUGUUGGGCACCUGUAGUCCCAGCUGA
rnacentral:lncRNA from 13 species